GUUCCUCCAGCAAUUUGUGUAUGUUGCUUUGGAUUUCCAGCAUCUGCAGACGACUUGGUGUUUGUUAGGAGAGAGAGUGUUUGGGUGCUUCUCUCUCUCUCUCUCUCUCUCUCUGUCUUCUUAACGUUUAAUCUUUGAUAAAGUUUUUGAUCACCUUCUAGUAUCUACCUAUGGGUCACAGUCAAUCUUUCUUUCAUGAUAGUUCUAUGAAGAACCUAAUGAGGCUGUAAAAAUGGAGAGCGUUGGUGUGACUGGAUUGUUUCUUGACAAUCCCUGACUGGCCGGUGGGCAGGGAACUGAUCUAACGGCACCCCGCAAGAUCUCUGUAUCCUCUGGGAACUGUGGAAGCCUCAGACAGGAACGGCUGAUGGAAGGAGGUAAUUCCUCAGGUUCCAACUAGUAAGUGCAGUGUCGUUUACUGGCACAGAUUCAGAAAAUAAACUCAGGCACCGGGUGCAGAUUAACAACAGAAGCUGUAAUUACAAGGGAGCUCAGACAUUCUGCAUUCCAGAAACAUCGCGUUUCUCAGUACCGCUGGCAUUUUAUAGUCAGAGAAUUAUACAACAUGUAAACAGAUUCUUCAGCCCGCCGAGAGCGCCUUGGCCACUGUACCCCCGUUUUUAUUCUAUUCUUCUCACAUUCGAACAGCUUCCCCCGGAUUCCACUACUCGGGGGAAUUUAUAAAGGCCGAUUAAUGCAUCAAUCUGCAAGGCUUUGGAAAGUGGGAAGAAAUCGAAGAAAUCGGGGGUGGGGGAGGAAUCUCCACACCAGCUGCACUCGAGGGUCAGCCCCGAUCACUGGAGUUUUCAGACGGCAACACUACCAGCCGCGCAACUAUACUAAACACUUCCAUUCGAUUCCCGUGUGACAGGUCCGGGCUGAAUUCCCCUAAAUGAGCAAAUUGAAGCUUCAAUUCUUCUGAAACAAGAAAAUUCUCUUUUAAUGAUGAUUUCUGUAAAAAAAACAACCCAUGCACAAAAUGGUGUUUCCCCAAAGACACGAGUUUGCACAGGUACUUGGCAAAGAAAUCAAUUACAACUCCGAACUUGAUACCUCUACGAAUUGAGCUCUUUUUUUAAAGUUUAAACUAGUUUUAAACGGGAGAGUUGAUGGCGAAAACAUGAAUGAUGGACAGCCAAGUAGCCUGAUCUGCUUGGGGUUUCAAAGCAACAAACACGGUUGGGUACUGACAUAACGACUGCUGCUGACAGAUGUUGCAAAAACUGCUCACAAUACACUGAAAGGGCUGAGUCAUUUUCUAAGAAAUUAGAAUCUUGGUGCCGUAGCCAGUCACAGCUCCGCAGGAAGUGGUUUUCUGUGGAAUUCUUUCUCUCUCUCUCUCUCCAGUUGCAGCUCAUGGUCUUAUCACAGUCAGGCCAAGUAUGAAUUACUGCCGUUUUUCCCUUUCUGUCCUCCCGAGGGAGUGAAAGAAGCCCCUUGCGUUGGGACACUCACAGGUCGGCGCAGGACUGCUGCUUAGCAAUGGAGUGCAAGGAUUGGAGGUCUUCAAAGCUUCGGAAACCCGGUGCCGAGUUCCUCCGACAGAUUGCGUGUUGCUCCAGAUUCUGGCAGCUGCAGUCCCUUGUGGAUCUUUGGUUGCAGGCGGCUUGUGGAUUGGGACUGAAAUUCCCUACAGGAUUUCACUGAAAGUGGCUCGCGCUGCCAGCUGAGUGGGCGAUGACGAUUAAAUGUUACUUCACAAGACCUUGGAAAUAAAAAAAAUAAAAGCCUGCUUUUAAACUGGUGCUUUUAAGCCUUGUAAUUUGAGGAAGGAGACUAGAAUUUAUAAGAGUCCUUCAGACACAAUUUUUCUGACCUGUUAAAAACAUGUUCCUUACAUUUACUGUAUUUCCUACCACCCACCUCUCCAGAGGAGUGGGUUACACUGACACUGAGAGUCAACUAUCAUUCAACAGGUCACUUGCCACGUGAGGUGGUUGUUAUUCUUUUUCAAAAAAUAGCUUUAUUCCACCAUGAAAGCAUAGGCUUGGAAUCAAAAUGUUGUUCUUGCCAUGAGCUAGGUACUUCAGAUGCUGUGCUGCCCAGUGGGUUUUGUACCACUGGGCAUUGCAGUGGGUUUCCUCCCUUGGGCACCGAUAUAGUCAUAGUCAUAGUCGUAGUCAUACUUUAUUGAUCCCGGGGGAAAUUGGUUUUCGUUACAGUUGCUCCAUAAAUAAUAAAUAAUACUAGAACCAUAAAUAGUAAAAUAGUAAUAUGUAAAUUAUGCCAGUAAAUUAUGAAAUAAGUCCAGGACCAGCCUAUUGGCUCAGGGUGUCUGACCCUCCAAGGGAGGAGUUGUAAAGUUUGAUGGCCACAGGCAGGAAUGACUUCCUAUGACGCUCUGUGUCGCAUCUCGGUGGAAUGAGUCUCUGGCUGAAUGUACUCCUGUGCCCACCCAGUACAUUAUGUAGUGGAUGGGAGACAUUGACCAAGAUGGCAUGCAACUUAGACAGCAUCCUCUUUUCAGACAGCAC